rnacentral:sRNA from 1 species
UACCAACUUGUGCAGCUGCUGGUGGAGC